CUACUACUCCCUCCGUCCGGAAAUAUUUGUCAUCAAAAUGGAUAAAAGGAGAUGUAUCUAGACAUAUUUUAGUUAUAGAUACAUCUCUUUUUAUCCAUUUUGAUGACAAGUAUUUUCGGACGGAGGGAGUAUAUG
rnacentral:pre_miRNA from 1 species